rnacentral:rRNA from 1 species
AUACAUGCAAGUCGAGCGGACGGAUGGGAGCUUGCUCCCAGACCGUCAGCGGCGGACGGGUGAGUAACACGUGGGCAACCUGCCUGUAAGACUGGGAUAACUCCGGGAAACCGGGGCUAAUACCGGAUAACUCUUUCCCUCACAUGAGGGAAAGCUGAAAGAUGGCAUCUCGCUAUCACUUACAGAUGGGCCCGCGGCGCAUUAGCUAGUUGGUGAGGUAACGGCUCACCAAGGCGACGAUGCGUAGCCGACCUGAGAGGGUGAUCGGCCACACUGGGACUGAGACACGGCCCAGACUCCUACGGGAGGCAGCAGUAGGGAAUCUUCCGCAAUGGACGAAAGUCUGACGGAGCAACGCCGCGUGAGUGAUGAAGGUUUUCGGAUCGUAAAACUCUGUUGUCAGGGAAGAACAAGUACCGGAGUAACUGCCGGUACCUUGACGGUACCUGACCAGAAAGCCACGGCUAACUACGUGCCAGCAGCCGCGGUAAUACGUAGGUGGCAAGCGUUGUCCGGAAUUAUUGGGCGUAAAGCGCGCGCAGGCGGUUCCUUAAGUCUGAUGUGAAAGCCCCCGGCUCAACCGGGGAGGGUCAUUGGAAACUGGGGAACUUGAGUGCAGAAGAGAAGAGU